rnacentral:tRNA from 1 species
ACUUUUAAAGGAUAAUAGUAAUCCACUGGUUUUAGGAACCAAAAAUUCUUGGUGCAACCCCAUGUGAAAGUU